CCGCCGCUGCUCCUGGUCCGGCCCAUCCCCGCCGGUACCCCCGGUGCCUCUCUGCCCCCCGGGGAGCUGCGGCUCACGGGUGGUGCACACCGAGACGGGAGGCACCGGGACAGGAGGGCCCGAACCGGGAGCGGCCUUGCCCAGGGCCCGUAGGAGUGGAGCGAACGGUGGCGGCGGUGGGAGCUGUGCCAUGGGACGGCCUGCCGGGCUCCGGGCUCUCUGGUCACUGCUGGUGGCUGAAAGUACAGAAUCAACUAAAACUACACCUGGCAUGACCAGAGCGGCACUGAGCGGAGCUCAUCUCCUGCAGCUGCUGCUCUCCAGAAGCAGCUGCCGCUCUCCAGAAGCAGCUGCCGCUCUCCAGAAGCAGAUGCCGCUCUCCAGAAGCAGCUGCUGCUCUCCAGAAGCAGCUGGUGGCCCCUGGGCAAGGCUGGAGAUCAGCAUUCCCCAGCCUCGGGCUGUCCCAGGUGUUCUGGGGGCCUGACUGACAAACAGGUGGAACACUGAGGCUGAGCUCUGGCACCACCCUGGCUCUAGGAAAAGGAAAUCCACAAUUCACCUUCUUCUGAGACUGCUCCUCCUUCCCUGGGGUGGCACAGCAUGGUGCCCAUCCACUGAACCAGGCUCAGGAAAACCUGACUGAGCUACAGGAAAUGGGGUUGGUUUUUACCAAACUAUUUUUAAAAACUUUAAUAAUAUAAACAAAAGAAUGUUGGA